rnacentral:lncRNA from 1 species
AUUGUUGUUUUAUUUUGUUUGCUAUAAAGAUUAGCCUCUUGUUCAAUGGAAAAUAUGAUCAAAAACAGUGUUCAAAAAUUAUUUAAGGGCCCCAUCACUACAGCAAUCAUUAGUCCUACUGUGUAUGAAAUUUCUAAGUAUUUCUAAAUGCUCAACCCUAGACAUGCCCUUCACUGAUAUUUUUAAUGUGCUUUCAGUACCUUGGCCAUUUAAUAACUUAUGUUCUUUUUUCAAAAUCUUAGGAAGAAAUUGUGUUUUGGAAUUGGGCCAACAGUAUGUGUUUCUCCGGUGGAUAAGCAAAAUUUCAUAAGAACAAAGAUGAUUCAAGCAGAUGUUUAUCAUGAAACUGCCAUAAAAAGCACCCGAAGUCACAAAGAUAAACAUCAAAUCCAGUCCUUGGAAAUUUCCCCCACCCUACCUGAGCAUCUUUUGAAGUAGAUAUUCAAUUAUUUUGAAGGAUUUUUAAAGAAUUUUCUAGAUUUCAUCUAAAAGACACUUUUGAAAUCUGCGUUAAAAUUCAUGGAAAUAUAUCCUAGAUGAAUUUGGAGGAAUGUAAGCAAGUAGGUACAAACCUUUAUUUUAUCCCUCAGUGACUCACUCAGUUGUGAAUAGGAAGGGCUCUCUGUGAUCUGGCCACAGCUUAUUUCUUGCCACAUUCCUAUUUUCAGUCCUCUUCCAAUCAUGUGGAACUUCCAGCAUCUCCUUACACAUGCCAUGUUAUUUCACACUUUUGUGACUUUGCUCAUAUUUUUCUCUCUCCCUGGAAAGCUCCCCGACAACCUCCACUGCCAUUACCCACUAGGCAAGUACAUCCUGUUUUCAGAAUCAGCCCAAUAUCAUCUUUCCUAGGGAAUCUUGUCAGACUGCCCUUCAUUACCAACAGACAAAAUAACUACCUUAUCUUUGGUUCUGUCUUCACUCUAGACCUAUGUAGCAUGCUACUUAUAACACUGCAUUGGUUUGUUGGCAUUUGUAUUUUCCACUGAGCAACCAUAACUUAUGUGUAGACAAAAAUUGUAUUGCUCACCUUUGGAUUACUAGGACCUAGCAGUGUUCUGAUUCAGAGUAUGUACUCAAUAAAUUCAUCUUGAAAAGUGAAUGAAUGAAUAAAUGAACGCCUGCAUCUCCAUCAUUGAUUUACUAUUUAAUCAGUGAAGUUUUUAAAUUAUAUUCCCCCAUAUCUUGAGAUUUGAUCUUGUGUUAAAUCAGUUGCACAUAUUAGACAUUACUUUGUCCUUUUCACUUCUCCUUAGCACAUAUGGGCUAUAUAAUCUUUAUAAAGGUUAAAGAAAUAUAUUGUAAUAUGUUAUAACACAAUCAAGAUACAUCUGAAACAACAUAGUGCAGGCACUAUUUCCGAUGUUCAACAUCAUGCUGGAGUAAAACUUAGAGACUCUUGGAAAAAAGAAAUACUUAAAUAAUGUCACCAGUGUAAUGUGCUACAUUGUAAUGGUGUUAUGCUUAUUACAUGUGUUAUCUAGUAAUGCACAAAAAGCCUAAUGGAUUUGCUCAUAUUUUCCUCAUGUGCAAAUGAAAACACUGAGUCUCAGAGAGAUUAAAUAAAUUGCCAAAUGUCAUGUCAAGCGAUUUUGAUCCUGGUAUUUCUAAUAUAAAAGCCCAUGUUUUAAUUUAUUAACUGUUUGACAUAUAACAAUAAUAGAUCAUUACAUGUUAAUAUAAAUAACCUAUGUAUGAAGACUAAUUAUAUUUUUACUUCUGCAUUCAAUCAACUGCAACAUGUCAUUUUGGUUGAUGUGUACAGAAAAUACUCAACAUCUCGCAGAUAUUGGGUUGGAAAACAGAGGACAUUUUUAUAUCUGUUUCAGAUAAAUGUAUAUAUUUUUCUUUGAUAGUACACCAAAAUUUGACAAGUGACUAUUUCUUAAAGGGUAGUUGCAGCAUGAAAUCCAAAAUAACAUCAAUAAACUUUUCAUUCUCUGUUACACUAAAA